GGCCCUAUGGCGCAAUGGUAGCGCGUCAGAUUCCAGUACCCACAUGGAGUCUCCUGAAGGCUACCCGUUCGAAUCGGGUUAGGGUCA
rfam:Pyrenochaeta sp. DS3sAY3a unplaced genomic scaffold IQ07scaffold_15, whole genome shotgun sequence.